GAAGAUCCAAAAAAAUGGCUUUCUCUACUUCCUUGGGCAGAGUUUUGGUUCAAUACCAAUUACAACUCCUCUAUCGGGCAAACACCAUUCCAAAUAUUAUAUGGAAAGGAAGCUCCUAUUUUACCAAACUAUAUUGAAGGUAGUUCUUUUAUUGAUGCUGUGGACAGAGAAUUGAAUGAUGAAGACAAUGAAAAACAAUUUAAUCAAAGCCCAAAAACGGAUGAAGACAAAUGCUGAAAAACAUAGACAAGAAAUAUAGUUUAAUGUGGAUGAUUGGGUAUUGGUCAAGCUAAAGCGCUAAAGACAAUCAACAGUAGCAGUUCGACUUCAUAACAAAUUAAAUAAGAAAUACUUUGGUCCCUACAAAAUCAAAGAAAAAAUCAGCAGGGUUGCUUACAGAUUAUCUCUGCCUCCGGGAAGUCGAAUCCAUAACACAUUUCAUAUAUCCUUGCUGAAGAAAUUUAUUGGCAGCCCACCUGAAAAUAAAGAUAUGACACCUUUAAUAGCGGUAAAAAAUAACCCUGUUUUGAUUCCUCUAGCUAUUAUAGAUUAUAGGAUUGUCUACCGGAAGGGAGGGCGAUUUCAUCAAGCUCUGGUCCAGUGGGACGGAGAACCAGUUGAAGAUUCCUCAUGGGAAGAUGUUGCAGCUCUGCGCAAGUCUUUUCCCUCAAUACACCUUGAGGACAAGGUGGUUCUCCGAGAGGGAUACCAUGAUACGAAGCGGAUAGACAUGGCUGGGAUAAUAGAAGAUCUGAAGAAGAACCACGAGCUCAGUGAAGAGGUCGUCGGAGAAGAAGAAAUUGAAGAAAAAGAAAUCGAACAGAGAAAAGGAAAAUUAGAUCAGAGCCGCCAGGUGAGGGAGAGCCGUUCCAAGAGGACUCCAGG
rnacentral:lncRNA from 1 species